rnacentral:rRNA from 1 species
AACGAACGCUGGCGGCAGGCUUAACACAUGCAAGUCGAACGCCCCUUUCGGGGGGAGUGGCAGACGGGUGAGUAACGCGUGGGAACGUGCCCCUCAGUUUGGAAUAACCCAGGGAAACUUGGGCUAAUACCGGAUACGCCCUUCGGGGGAAAGAUUUAUCGCUGAAGGAUCGGCCCGCGUCUGAUUAGCUGGUUGGUGAGGUAAUGGCUCACCAAGGCGACGAUCAGUAGCUGGUCUGAGAGGAUGAUCAGCCACAUUGGGACUGAGACACGGCCCAAACUCCUACGGGAGGCAGCAGUAGGGAAUCUUGCGCAAUGGGCGAAAGCCUGACGCAGCCAUGCCGCGUGUAGGAUGAAGGUCUUAGGAUUGUAAAAUACUUUCACCGGGGAAGAUAAUGACGGUACCCGGAGAAGAAGCCCCGGCUAACUUCGUGCCAGCAGCCGCCGUAACAC